UCCUCCAACCUCUCUGCAUUAAUCGGAAGAAGAAGAAUGAAGAACCAGCAGCUAUAAUGUCAAGCAUUCCGGGGGAGAUGUGCCGUGAAUCAAUUAAUCUGUUUGCAAGAAUUUGGUAUAUGUCAUGGAAACAAUUAGUACCCUUCUGGUAAAGGCGGAAGGUGCAUGUCCUUAGAAAAAAAAAGAAUAUCCUCAUUGAUGCAGACGGGCUUUUCUUUCUGGAGAUUCCUCUGUACUUCUGCCUCCAGAGUUUUCGAAUUGGUGCUGGGUAUAUCUUCUGUGACCAGGGUUAUCAAAUGAAUAUGCAACCUUCAUGCGCUGAAGCAGGUUUUCAUAUUCGGAUUCCACCUACAGUAGACCCAAAGCUAUUAGUAAAGAGAAUUUUUGAUGAAUGAGCGCCACGUUGCAGAAACAUGACAUAUAAGUUCAAGAUGAGUGAAAAUACUAUUGAUAUUGAUUCUCAACUACAGAAGCUUGAAACAUGUCCUCCCACUUAAAUGAAGUGCACCACUCAAGGGAACAUAAGAGAAAUCACAUAUCACUUGAUUUCAUGGUCUAUUUAUUGAGAGAUUUCGAGAUUGCCCAAGAACAAUUGGAAGCUUCUGAAAAGAAUGGGAAACGGCUUGAACAAUUGGAAGCUUCUGCAAAGUAUCAUUUGGAAAACUUAUGUUUUAGUAUGCUACGUGUUAAGUCGAUACAAUGAAGAUAAAAUGUCACAAUUUGGUUAGAGUAAAGGCACUUUUAUGGAAUAUGAAAUAUACACGAAAUGUGAUGUA